ACGCGUUUCACUUUCCAAAGUAUUCAUUUUCAAUUCAUUCUCUUAUUCCAACCAUCCAUACCAAUUCAUUUGUUCCCUUUUCAUCUCUUAGAUUCAUGUUCAACCUUUUUCCAUUCUCUCUCUCAUUGGCUCUAUCUGCGCCAAUGAACCAUAACCAUACAUGAAGAAAAUUUCAAUCUCUCCCAUGUCUUUUCCACUUUCAAUGUUGUCUUUUCUCCUCCCAUUCCCCUUCACCAAUGCUCUCGAUUCCGACAUCACCUUUGCCGUUGUCGACUUUCCCACCACCGUCUGCGGCAUCGUAUCAGCCAGACAAGCAAAAAGAACCGCACAAAGAGAAAGAAGCCAUGGAAAUUUGCAAUCUCGAUUGGAAGCUCCCGUCGUUGCUCUCUCCCUUCAUCAACAAUGCUCUCAAGGUUCACAACACAGUCAGAUUUGGGUCUCUGACGAGAAUAGGGUCAUAGUUGACGAUUCAGUUUCAUCUCAGUUUCACCCCUCACUUUCAUCUUCUCUGUUUUGGCGAUGAUUCAAUUUCGACCGUUGAGGUAAGAAGUAUGGGAUGAGAUGGAACAAGACUGUAGCAGAAACAUGGAAUGGAACAUUGGUGUAUCAGUUGUAGGUGCUCCCUCUCUCACUAUGUUUCCUCUCUCACUGCAGUUCAUCUCGAUGAUUUUAUUUGAUAAUGUACCAAUUGAGAAUUGUUUGAUAGAGUACGGUGACUCAACAAAAACUGACGGCAAAUUCAUAAAUGUUGAAAAUACAUCAUGCUGAAAACUUCCACCCUGAGAAUUAUGUCUCUAUUGUCAAAGAAGAAGGGCUUGAGAUAUCGAUCACAACCAGCACUUGAUCCUAAAAAGUUGGAAGUUCAUCAUCAAAUUACCGCACGUGGUAGGAGGUCAAAAGUGCACAGGUUAUCCACCUUGCACCGAGUAAAUAAGUAAUUCUUGGCAAUGACAAUUCAAUGUGAAUUUCCCUUUAUUUUAUGCAGUUGAAGAAGUUUGAACUAAUUUGUUUCAGGUGGAUAGAAAUGAUGGCUCCCGUUUUCUCAAAAGUUGCGUGGCGUUGUGUUUGUUACAUGAUUUAGGUACACCACUUUGUUUGAUCAAUGUGAAAGCAUGUUUGCAGAAGUUAGUCGUGUGUUAGAAAAGUUAAGAGAAGCUGACAUAUGCUUAACAAUAUUUGCAUAUAUUUGAUUAUUUAAUUUUUUAGUUUAUUUUA